rnacentral:lncRNA from 1 species
UGUAAUAACGAGAUAAAGUGUGUCGAUGGGUUGCGCAUAGAAACGAGGAGAACUGAGGGCAAGUUGAAAAAUAGCUGCAGUGUCGGUUUCUAUCCGUGGAUGUCUACUCAGAAGUCAGCCCCAUUGAACUCAGUAGGGCUUGCUCUCAGGUAAGGAGGCACAGAAUAGCAGCUUGAUGUCCAUAUGUGUAUCUGUGUGUGAAGAAAGAUUUCAACAUUGCCACCACAUUUGCAUUGGUAGGUUAACACUCUGAUCACAGUUCAGCCCCCCAAAUUCUUUUUGUAUGGAAAGCUGUUUUUUCUUAGCUUUUGCAAUUCUUUUCCAGGCAAUCAUUGCUGUCAGUGCUGUUGGGAAGGUUAGUGACUUAGGGACUGGGUGUGUAGAGGAGAGAGGUUCAAGUUACUUUGGCAGCCUGUGGAUUAUUAGCAGGAAACAGCAAUGAGGACUCUCAUUUUUUCCCCCUUUCUGUUUUGCUACUCGUGCAGAAAUUACAAGCGUGUAUGCUGUUUCUGUGACAUUCAAACAAACAAUUUGCACUACACAUAGCACCCUUGUGAAGUACCCCCACCCCCCAUUGCCAGAGGAUAGAUGUUUGCAUGUUGUUUGUAAUUCACAGGAAGAAUUUGUGUGUGUGUGUGAAUGCUGUUGGCUAGACCCCAAUGGGAGUUGGAAAGAGAUUGUAUGUGAAGAUUGUUAACAGGGAAGAUGCGAGGGUCAGGUCUGGCAGAUGGUAGAUGGACUACAUAAUAAAUUUAGGAGUCUGCCAAAUACACUGUUGACAGCUGCCCAGUUUUUUGCAAUUCUUCAGCACGCUAUCAUCAAAUCAGUAAAACCGUUUAAAUGAAGGGGGAAAGAGCAAGAAUAUCAUAUCCUUUUCAUUUUAUUUUAGGAUGGGAGUUGAGCCCCCCCCCUUUAUUUUUACAGGCAAUACUAGCUAUAAACAUUUUGGAGCUAUUAGAAUUUAUUCGACAUUGGUUUGAACACAACAAACUGUGAGGCGAUGAAUAGCUGUGCAUCAAGAAAUAUGGAAAAUGUUCCUUGGUUGUUUAUGCCUCUGCCACUUUUGUGCACUGUGCAGUUUUCAGAGUGGACGAUAACUGCUGCUGUUGGCCUCUGUCUGUCUUGGGUGACAGUGGAAGAAUGCGCCUUCAGGGGUGAAGUCAAACCACUGGAGAGUCACAGCGCCUGCUGUGGUUAUAGAGACGAAUACAGGAGAUACAUGUUUUGUUGCUGUUGGUGCAGAUGAAGGCAUCUGGUUGAGCUGAUGCAGAUGUACCAUAGCAUUUCUUCUUUCUGCACUCUUCUCAGUGGUUAUUCCUUCUCUGGUCACUGCUGUGGAUACACAACCUGACUGAUUGUCUCCUGGCACUAUGGUUGUCUGCAAGGGAUUCCCACAUGGUGGGGUUAAUGUCACCAGCCUUCGUGUCACAUUUCCAGACAUCUUUGUAAUGCAGAAGCAGAGUUGGUCUGCCAGUGAGCUUGUUGUCUGAUCAAUAGAAGUGGGAGAACCCCCCCUUCUGCUUACCCUGAAAACAGCUGCUGGCAUAAUCUGCACAUUUCAUCUUUCUAUGUGUUUAUAAAUACAGUACUGGUGUUUCAUUUCAUUUUUCAAAACACAAACUGGGGAAUUGAACACUGUAUUUCAAUAGUUGUGCUUGAUUUAGCACUUACUGUACUUAAGUGACUCCCCUCCCCCAUUUUCCAAUUUGAAUGCCCUACCCUUUGGUUACGAGGGACGCGGGUGGCGCUCUGAGUUAAACCACAGAGCCUAGGACUUGCUGAUCAGAAGGUCGGCGGUUCGAAUCCCCACGACGGGGUGAGCUCCCGUUGCUCAGUCCCUGCUUCUGCCAACCCAGCAGUUCGAAAGCACGUCAAAGUGCAAGUAGAUGAAUAGGUACUGCUCCGGUGGGAAGGUAAACGGCGUUUCCGUGCGCAGCUCUGGUUCUCCAGAAGCAGCUUAGUCGUGCUGGCCACAUGACCAGGAAGCUGUACGCCGGCUCCCUCAGCCAAUAAAGCGUGAUGAGCGCCGCAACCCCAGAGUUGGCCACGACUGGCCCUAAUAGUCAGGGGUCCCUUUACCUUUAUUCUUUGGUUAAUGUAAUGGUUCUAGUUAUGAUUUUGGAUAGUAGCCACCCACUGGUGAUGGACUCUACCUUAGAAGAGGGAAGUCAACUGCUACAGUUCUCAUGACUGAGUGGGAGAUUUCACUUCUUCUGGAACCUCAUUGUUCAUAGCAAAAUUUUUCCCCUCCCCAAAAUUCCUGGGCCACUCAGUUCCAUGGAACACUGAGACAUUGCCUUCAUGCAGAACAGAUAUGGAAAAGUGUUAAAGAUGAGCUCCCAUUAUUCUGCUGUGACAUCCUUUUGUUUCUCAUUUAGCAGAGUCCACAUGGCUCUGUUUAUCAUCCCUGUACAUUAAGAUGCUCUAUGGAAUGAUAUUCAAUGUGGUGAACAAAUGCUUCUUCUCCUUGUCUAUUUUCUGAGUUGGGCCUUGCCCUAAUAUCUGUUCUCACGUUAGAUGUGGGUUUUCUUUCAGAUUAGAAAAUGACUAGAAAGAUCAGACAAGAUUUUGAACUAUGGCUCACUGAAGAUUAUCAAGCAAAACAACAACAGUUCAAUGCAAACUUAUUAAAACAGAAUGAUGUUAGGCUGA